rnacentral:rRNA from 1 species
AGAGUUUGAUCCUGGCUCAGAACGAACGCUGGCGGCAGGCUUAACACAUGCAAGUCGAGCGCUCCUUCGGGGGAGCGGCGGACGGGUGAGUAACGCGUGGGAACGUGCCCUAUGGUCUGGGAUAACCGCUGGAAACGGCGGCUAACACCGGAUGAGCCCUUCGGGGGAAGGUUUACGCCAUGGGAUCGGCCCGCGUCGGAUUAGGUAGUUGGUGGGGUAACGGCCUACCAAGCCGACGAUCCGUAGCUGGUUUGAGAGGAUGACCAGCCACACUGGGACUGAGACACGGCCCAGACUCCUACGGGAGGCAGCAGUGGGGAAUCAUAGACAAUGGGCGCAAGCCUGAUCUUGCCAUGCCGCGUGGUCGAUGAAGGCCUUAGGGUUGUAAAGACCUUUCACCGGUGACGAUAAUGACGGUAGCCGGAGAAGAAGCCCCGGCUAACUCGGCGCCAGCAGCCGCGGUAAUACGGAGGGGGCUAGCGUUGUUCGGAAUUACUGGGCGUAAAGCGCACGUAGGCGGGCAUUUAAGUCGGGGGUGAAAUCCCGGGGCUCAACCCCGGAAUGGCCUUCGAUACUGGGUGCCUA